CCUACGUGAGGCAGCAGUAGGGAAUCUUCCACAAUGGGCGAAAGCCUGAUGGGGCAACGCCGCGUGGGUGAAGAAGGUCUUCGGAUCGUAAAACCCUGUUGUUAGAGAAGAAAGUGCGUGAGAGUAACUGUUCACGUUUCGACGGUAUCUAACCAGAAAGCCACGGCUAACUACGUGCCAGCAGCCGCGGUAAUACGUAGGUGGCAAGCGUUAUCCGGAUUUAUUGGGCGUAAAGGGAACGCAGGCGGUCUUUUAAGUAUGAUGUGAAAGCCUUCGGCUUAACCGGAGUAGUGCAUUGGAAACUGGGAGACUUGAGUGCAGAAGAGGAGAGUGGAACUCCAUGUGUAGCGGUGAAAUGCGUAGAUAUAUGGAAGAACACCAGUGGCGAAAGCGGCUCUCUGGUCUGUAACUGACGCUGAGGUUCGAAAGCGUGGGUAGCAAACAGGAUUAGAUACCCUAGUAGUC
rnacentral:rRNA from 1 species